ensembl:antisense Gm44293 predicted gene, 44293
AGGAGCCUCCCCUAUCCACGGUGGAAUGUUGAAGGGACCAAUCUGACACCAGUUCUUUACAACAUAUGAUUUUACUUUAAAUUAAUUUAACCCUUAGUUAAAUCAUUUAAGUUCUUUGGCUUUCAGCCCCACCGAAUCUUCACCUUGGACUAUAGGCUUGGUUGCCUGAGGCACAUUUGGAUGCAUUGGAGUCAUUUCUGUUACUCAUUGUGCCUCUGACUGGAUGAGGGAUGCGAAGGAGGUGAAGUUUGGUGUCCUCCGUGGCUCAUGUGCUUGAACCUUCGUGCCCAGUAGGUGGCGCUGUUUUUCGAAGGUUAAGAAAUCCUUAGAAGGAUUCAGGUCGGGCCUUGGGCCUCUAUUUCCUACAGGAGCUUUCUGUUUCCUGAUCUGUGAAGAUGUGGACAAGCCGCCUGACAAGCUGGAGAGGCGAUCCUCUGUUACAGAAAAGAGCCAGCUGAGCAAGGUGUGGGGAACAUGGCAGUUUCUCAGGUCUCCGCUUCAGUUUCUGCCUCCAGAUCCCUUCCUUGGCUUUCCUCAGCGAUCAGGUCAUGGACCCGCCUCUCUCUCCACAACUUCUGGGAAAGUCUUUGCAGCUCAACUUUGAAUCUCACCUCCUUCAGAAGCGUUGACAGGCCCUGCAAGAUCAGAUGAGAGCUCCUAGCUCCUGCUUCAGCACCGUGCUUGCCUGUCUGGUGCCAUGCUCCCUGCCAUGAUGGUCAUGAACUUACCACUGGAAUGGCUGUUCCUGUCAUGGAUUUUUAUCAUAGUGUUGAGAGGAGCGACUCUCAUGAGCUAACACAAUGACAUCACAUUGGGUUGCUUACAGUUUGGAGGUUUUAUUUCUCACAGCUCUGAAGACUACGUCAAGUUGUCAAUGGACUCAUCAUGACCUCAGAGUAAGAAAGUGAGUCAACUUGGGCUACUGUGGCUAGAUCUCCCAUCAGUCCAUCCUUCCAGUUCUGUGGCUGCCUUGUGGACAGUGCUGCAUUAUAAAUCUGCCUGUCUGUCAGCGCUCUAAGGAGAAGUACUUGUUGCUGCACCUGACUUGCCAUCUUGGUCCCUUGAUCAAACCUGGAAGGAGACCUGUCGAGAUGGAGAGAACUGCCUUGGUGGUAAGGUUAGACCCACUGGCUGCUGCCCCACUGACUGUGUAUGAGGAAGGAGGCGACAGAAUGUGUGGUUAACCAAAGGCUGGACAAUAAAAGCAUCCCUGGGGGGCUGGAGAGAUGGCUCAGUGGGUGAACUGCUUGUUGUGGCAAUUGUGAGAACAGAAGUUUGGAUACCCCCUCCCACACUUGAAGCACCCGGAUGGUAGGCUUGCUCCUUGUAUCCUGACAUGGUCUGGCACACCUAGGAGAAGGUACAAGGCUCACAAAUCCAAGGUUGUCUGCACUGUGACCAAGGCAACUUAUAAAUAAAGUGUUUAAUUUUG